rnacentral:misc_RNA from 1 species
GAUGAAGAACGUAGCGAAAUGCGAUAAGUAAUGUGAAUUGCAGAAUUCAGUGAAUCAUCGAAUCUUUGAACGCACCUUGCGCCCUUUGGCAUUCCGAAGGGCAUGCCUGUUUGAGUAUCAUGAACACCUCAACUCUUCAUGGUUUUCCAUGAUGAGCUUGGACUUUGGGGGUCUUGCUGGCCUGCGGUCGGCUCCUCUCAAAUGAAUCAGCUUACCAGUGUUUGGUGGGCAUCACAGGUGUGAUAACUAUCUGCGCUUGUGGUUUUCCACCAAGUAACCUUCAGCAGUGGAGGUUCACUGGAGCUCACAGACGUCUCUCCUCAGUGAGGACAGCCCUUUGAAUGUUUGAUCUCAAAUCAGGUAGGACUACCCGCUGAACUUAAGCACAUCAAUAAGCGGAGGA